CAAAUCGGACUAGGAUAUAGCUGGUUUUCUGCGAAAAUUGUUUUAGCAAAUUGUUUAUUGUUGUUAUUAAUAGGUAUAGCACUGAAUAUCCCGUUAUGAUUAAUAAUAAAAAAGGAGUAUUAAAAAUACUUACUUUGGAUAUUUAAUCUCAGAAUGAUUAAUAAAUAAGAUAAAUAAAAGGACUUUUUGCGAUAAGGUAGAAAGUCAAAAGGGAAACAGCCCAGAACAGAAAUUAAAGCUCCCCAAUUAAUAUUAAGUGAAA
rnacentral:rRNA from 1 species